GACGUAGGUGGCGAGCGUUGUUCGGAAUCACUGGGCAUAAAGCGCACGUAGGCGGCCAAGUCAGUCAGGUGUGAAAUACCUCGGCUCAACCGAGGAACUGCGCCUGAUACUGCUUGGCUUGAGGUCCGGAGGGGAGAGUGGAAUUCCCGGUGGAGCGGUGAAAUGCGUAGAUAUCGUUUGGAACGCCGACGGCGAAAGCAGCUGACUGGGAGUGAUCUGACGCUGAGACACGAAAGCCAGGGGAGCGAACGGG
rnacentral:rRNA from 1 species